UACAGAGGUCUCGAGCGUUGUUCGGAUUCAUUGGGCGUAAAGGGUGCGCAGGCUGUUGUGUAAGUCGGAUGUGAAAUCCCGGGGCUCAACCCCGGAACUGCAUUCGAUACUGCAUGACUAGAGGACUGGAGAGGAGAUUGGAAUUUACGGUGUAGCAGUGAAAUGCGUAGAUAUCGUAAGGAAGACCAGUGGCGAAGGCGAAUCUCUGGACAGUUCCUGACGCUCAUGCACGAAGGCUAGGGGAGCAAACGGG
rnacentral:rRNA from 1 species